CGGUGAAGCCCAGCUUGCUGGGUGGAUCAGUGGCGAACGGGUGAGUAACACGUGAGCAACCUGCCCCUGACUCUGGGAUAAGCGCUGGAAACGGCGUCUAAUACUGGAUACGAACCACAGUCGCAUGGCUGGUGGUUGGAAAGAUUUUUUGGUUGGGGAUGGGCUCGCGGCCUAUCAGCUUGUUGGUGAGGUAAUGGCUCACCAAGGCGUCGACGGGUAGCCGGCCUGAGAGGGUGACCGGCCACACUGGGACUGAGACACGGCCCAGACUCCUACGGGAGGCAGCAGUGGGGAAUAUUGCACAAUGGGCGCAAGCCUGAUGCAGCAACGCCGCGUGAGGGAUGACGGCCUUCGGGUUGUAAACCUCUUUUAGCAAGGAAGAAGCGAAAGUGACGGUACUUGCAGAAAAAGCGCCGGCUAACUACGUGCCAGCAGCCGCGGUAAUACGUAGGGCGCAAGCGUUAUCCGGAAUUAUUGGGCGUAAAGAGCUCGUAGGCGGUUUGUCGCGUCUGCUGUGAAAUCCCGAGGCUCAACCUCGGGUCUGCAGUGGGUACGGGCAGACUAGAGUGCGGUAGGGGAGAUUGGAAUUCCUGGUGUAGCGGUGGAAUGCGCAGAUAUCAGGAGGAACACCGAUGGCGAAGGCAGAUCUCUGGGCCGUAACUGACGCUGAGGAGCGAAAGGGUGGGGAGCAAACAGGCUUAGAUACCCUGGUAGUCCACCCCGUAAACGUUGGGAACUAGUUGUGGGGUCCUUUCCACGGAUUCCGUGACGCAGCUAACGCAUUAAGUUCCC
rnacentral:rRNA from 2 species